AUUGAACGCUGGCGGCAGGCCUAACACAUGCAAGUCGAGCGGAUGAAGGGAGCUUGCUCCUGGAUUCAGCGGCGGACGGAUGAGUAAUUCCUAGGAAUCUGCCUUGUAGUGGGGGAUAACGUCCGGAAACGGGCGCUAAUACCGCAUACGUCCUGAGGGAGAAAGAGGGGGAUCUUCGGACCUCACGCUAUCAGAUGAGCCUAGGUCGGAUUAGCUAGUUGGUGGGGUAAAGGCCUACCAAGGCGACGAUCCGUAACUGGUCUGAGAGGAUGAUCAGUCACACUGGAACUGAGACACGGUCAAGACUCCUACGGGAGGCAGCAGUGGGGAAUAUUGGACAAUGGGCGAAAGCCUGAUCCAGCCAUGCCGCGUGUGUGAAGAAGGUCUUCGGAUUGUAAAGCACUUUAAGUUGGGAGGAAGGGCAGUAAGUUAAUACCUUGCUGUUUUGACGUUACCAACAGAAUAAGCACCGGCUAACUUCGUG
rnacentral:rRNA from 1 species